GCGCCCAUGGCCUAAUGGAUAAAGCGCUUGAUUUCUUAUCAAGCAAUUGUGGGUUUGAGCCCCACUUGGCGUG
rnacentral:tRNA from 1 species